CGCUGCACUUCCCUUUGUCCCGCAGAUUUGUUUUUUUCCAUCCUGGUUGAACUUUCUAGCGUGACACUAAUAAGUCCAUAGCAUCAUAUAUGCGGCUUAGCAGGGCGCAGGGGGCAUAUCCUAACAAAUGUGUGGAGUCAAUUGGUUUCCCAAGGGGACGCUACUGAGAAGCUGGCUCACCAAGUCCCGACCUAGACUGCUGCUGCUCAUCGCCGGCUUGAAGAGGCCUCAAGUCACCCUCAUGCGCAGGAAAAGGAUGAAACGCACAAAAGUAGCAAAGGCCACGUAAGCGAACCUGUAGUCAUAUGCCGCAUUUCACUUGAGUUGCUGCCACAGAGAGAAGCUCCAUCUGCGGUCGACAUGAAUGCAGAUCCAGAAACAGAGAAAGCAUCUCAGUCGUCUCUGCCAAACAUACGAACUAAACGCCAAAGCAGAAGCAGAAGAGGCUCAGAGUUUGUUGUGAAUAUGAUGGAUCUACCACAAAGAACCAGACCCCCCGACUAAGAUCCAGAGCCUCCCAGUGACAUUUGUUCAUCUUUCUCUUAAAUACACUUCUGUCAUGCUUCAAUUCACUACACAGCGUGUGACAGCACAUUAUUGCUAUUGCCUUUGGUUGACAGUGCUUUCCUUUCCUGUGUUCCUGUGUUCAGAGACAAUCCUCUGGUCAGGAUUUCAGGGACUUUUAUUUUUCGAUUCCUAAUGAUGCGUGUGGGUGAAAAAGAUGAAGAAAAAUAAUGAAAAAAAGAAAGAAAAACGUAUAAAUGCCAUGAGCUAGUUAACCAACAGCACACCAGUGGUUUUUUUCAUACUGUUGAGUCGUCAGACUGACAGCUGACGGUCCAUUAUUAUGUCCUGAGGAGUAAAAUAAUUCAUUUAAAUGUAAAUAUCCAAUGAAAAAAAAAAAAUAUGAUAGUCAUAUUAUUGCAAAUGGGCCAUUAUGUGAUCCUAUUAUCAUUUAACCAAAAAAUUUCAUAGAAACAUGAUUGAGUAUUUUUUUUUAAAAAGUAAUUAAUUAAUUAAUUAAUUAAUUAAAAUAAUAAUAAUAAAAAAUCAAGCAGCUAUUUGACAAUUUAUAUAACUUAUUGGUUAUUAUUGAACACGUCCACAAAAAAAACUGCAUUAAUAUUUGUUAGGUGAAUCUCAUGAAGCAUGUCAAGUCUGGCUCAUAUAUCGCACAAAAUCCAUGGUAAAAAUAAGAAAUUAUAUUUUGCAUUAAGGAAACUAUCAUAUUUUAGGACCAUUAGGAGUUUUGUUUAUAUAUUUUACCACACAUUUUACCCCAAAAAUUCUCAUUACUAAAAGGAUUUUUUUUUUCUCAAUAGUUAUUCUCAUUACAUUCUCAUUAUUACUGUAAACUAAUAAAAGUCAACCUGUCUGGGCGCAUUAUAUAAAAACAAAAGCUAUCAAGUAUAAAUACACUUUAUUUUUAAUUAUUUUAAUUUAAUUUAAAUUUAUUUAUACAAAAUAUAAUUCAAAUAUUUUAUAAAUGGUUUUAUAAAUAUUUUAUUUUAUAAAUUAUGUUUUAAAAUUCUAACUUAUUUCUUGUUUCAUCUGAUUUUGAGGUGAAUAUUACUCAAACAUGUCUUAACAUUUUCAUGAGAUUCACCCACACAAUACAAUGAUUUAAAACACAUGCUUGCACAGUUUGAAACUUAUUUUCACUUUUGAACAAUUCUGUAUUUUGUGUUCAUACUGUCUUCUAUCUCUAGCUACUAUGUCAAAGCAGACACAGAUUUGUUUGAAGAAUCACAUACGUUUAAUUUCAGAGCAUUUUAAGAUUCUUUUCAGUAAUUCUUUGAAUAAACAAGGUAACACUUUA